ACAUAUCAAUAAGCGGAGGAAAAGAAACCAACAGGGAUUGCCCUAGUAACGGCGAGUGAAGCGGCAACAGCUCAAAUUUGAAAUCUGGCCUCGGCCCGAGUUGUAAUUUGCAGAGGAAGCUUUAGGCGCGGCACCAACUGAGUCCCCUGGAACGGGGCGCCACAGAGGGUGAGAGCCCCGUAUAGUUGGACGCCUAGCCUGUGUAAAGCUCCUUCGACGAGUCGAGUAGUUUGGGAAUGCUGCUCAAAAUGGGAGGUAAAUUUCUUCUAAAGCUAAAUACCGGCCAGAGACCGAUAGCGCACAAGUAGAGUGAUCGAAAGAUGAAAAGCACUUUGAAAAGAGGGUUAAAUAGCACGUGAAAUUGUUGAAAGGGAAGCGCUUGUGACCAGACUUGCGCCCGGCUGAUCAUCCGGUGUUCUCACCGGUGCACUCUGCCGGGCUCAGGCCAGCAUCGGUUCUCGCGGGGGGAUAAAGGUCCUGGGAACGUAGCUCCUCCGGGAGUGUUAUAGCCCAGGGCGUCAUGCCCUCGCGGGGACCGAGGUUCGCGCAUCUGCAAGGAUG
rnacentral:rRNA from 1 species